UAUAUUUCAUUAAGAGGAUGUGAGUGGUUGAGAUAUUGACUUGAAAAUGCGUACAAUACAUAUGAUAUUGUUGAACAAUAUAACGCUAAAGCUAUUAUCGUCGAGCUAACGCUAAAGCUAACAGCAUACUGUUAAUAAGGCUGAGUCAUGUGCUUGCUGAAAUGCACAAUAUUGACUCAAUAUGUGAGCUGGCGUCAUGUUAUACACCGUGCCAGUUAAUAUUUACUUAAAAAAGUUCAUUAAUGUUGGUAGCGAUGGGGAUACUGCUAUUGUAAAGCAUUUGUUAAUGGGAGACGAUUGUGACGGUACCGCCGUUGCUAAAGGUAACAGACUGUUGAUUACUGUUACUUCGUCAUAUUAACAGCUGGGUCAUUGACACGGGGAUGUUAGCUGUUAAGCUCCUGAUUACGUUCUAUCAAUUUUGUAGAUAUUUUUGCUUAUACAGGUUAUCUUUACCAAGCACCUAGUUGUAACACAUUGGAAAUUAUAUUUUUUAUGUGUUAAAAUAAUACAACAUGCUGUUCUAAUUAUUGAGGGGGUUAUUCAUGAUGGUAAUGAUAUAGAUAUUUGCAAUGUCAAACAUCACAUUAUCGACAUAUAUGCUCUACAACCACAAGUUCAAAUAGAUAUAGAUUUAAUGGAUGGGUUGUAAGCUGCCUUGAAGCUUGUGAACCAGCUCCUCCUCUAUAUUUGCUUCAGUAGCUGCUCCUGAAAUUUAUCUACUACUGUACCGUAUGUUACCUUUAUAUGAGUUUGAUAUAAUUCAUAAAAUGUAUUCUGUGACAUUUUAAGCUGCAGCUAACAGUGACGUGAUGUUUUAGAGCUGUUUCAUUUUCUAUUACUAUUAUGACUAAUAAUGUUGCUUUUCUCAUAGGCCUGCUGUUUUAAUGUACUAUGUAUCUGACAGAUAGCACUAAUGUAUUGUUUUUUGUCUCAAACAAACAGAAGAUUAUACCACUCCCGUGCGUUUAUUGGUAAGUACAAGUGUUAUUACCAAAAGUGACAUUGUACUCUAAAAAUUAGCUGGAUGAAUGUUUUGCUUUAUCCUGCUAAACAACAACUCAUGAGACAUAUAUUUCAACAGAUGAUGCAUCUAAUAAAGACUGACUUUAAUUACAUAUUAAAUGUUGAUCUUUCUCUAUCAGUACUGCAUAUCUCCUAUUAUACAUGUAUAUAUAUAUAUAUAUAUAUAUAUAUAUAUAUAUAUAUAUAUAUAUAUUGGAUACAUUUUUUCCUGGUGGACAAGUGUGUUAACAGUGUUACCACACAACUACAUUUGUUUAUUCAAAACAUUUGAAGUUGCUGGGAAAGUGUGACUUCAUUUUCAUAAUAAUGAUGAGGGAAAAUCAUUUGGGAAAAUGAGUGAAUGAAGUGAGCUGUGAGGUUGUUUGUUGUAAAGAGUAUUAAAUAUCUCUUUUCUACAUUUUAAGCUUCAUGUUUUUCAGGCCAAGGUUGCUUCACUAUAAUCUUUCCAGUAAUUAUGUGGUAUAAAACAUGAACUUGGAUUAGAAAUGACAAAACUAAUGAUUGUCAAUUAAAAAUGGUUGUGCCUUCAAUUAAGUAUGACAUAAUGAUUGUUUUGCAACUACAUUUACAUUUUCCUCCUCUAUAAUUUCACUGCUUCUGAAAUUGGCUAUUCUAUCUCUUUAAUGCAGACCAUUGUGUGUUUUUUACAACACAUUAUGUAAAACCCUACAUCAUGUCAUAAUUUCACAAACUGCUGCAUCUUUUCACUGAAUUGUAACAUUAACCAUUUCAAACUAUGCCUUAUCUUAACUCAAGCUGAACCUAAUGUUAAUACGUUUGCUGCUUGAUAACAAUUGAAUAAUUAUUACAGUGUCAUCUUUUGUUUUUUGACAAUGACACUCUAAAUGUUUCAUCUCUAUUUUUCCAUUUCCCCUCCUAGUGACUCUACCUUGUGUUUAAGUGCAGACCGCUUGCCAGUCAGUGUAAGUUUAUACAUGAAUGACAUUUUUAUGAAUAUCACUGUGUGCCUUUAUUGUACACAUUUUACACACACCUCUCUUUCUGUAGUUUGUACAGAAUUAAGGUUACUUUCAUACACAUGAUAUUUGAUCACAUGCUUAUGAACAUUAUUAUUAAGGCAAUUAACAUUGACUCAUAUAAGCAUUCAAGAUAAGUGGGUGAUACAUCUUUUGGUAAAAUACACUGAGCUCGUACAUACAUUUCUUCAUCUAUUUAGUAACAUUUUAGAUGUUCAGUCCUGAUACAUUUUUGAAAAGAUGAUCAAAUAACAAUGCUCAGUUUCAGCAUUUGACUCAACUACACUUUGAAUAGAUGUGUAUUCAGAAUUCCCAUAUGUUACUUUGAAUGAAAGCACAUUAUAAUGACAUUAGUUUCGGGUGAAUGUCGGUUGAUUUAAAUGUUUUUAUUAUAUUUCAUACAAAUUAUUAAUAUUUAUUUCCAUUUUUCUUACAGAUAUCCUGUACUGUCCCUCCACUCUCUCCUAUCAUUUUGGACAUUCUGCCUUUCUAUCUCUCCUCUAUCCAACUCUGACUAUUUGAACAGCUAUUGCCAGCCUUUACAACCUAUUUUGAAAGCCUUUACCACAGCCUUUGACAGCCUUUAAAAACCGUUGUGAAAGCCUUUAAGAAAGGCUUUGACUGCCUUUGACAGCCUUUCUACCACUUUUAGAGCCUUAAAAACGGGCAUUCAGACACUUUGAGAACACUUUUUGGAAACAAGCUUUUCUUUUUCAACUGAUCGCGUGUAAAAGCAAUACUUUUGAAACAGCAAAAUCUUUGAAA